CCUACGGGUGGCUGCAGUGGGGGAUAUUGCACAAUGGGGGAAACCCUGAUGCAGCGACGCCGCGUGGGUGAAGACGCGCCUCGGCGCGUAAAGCCCUGUCAGCAGGGAAGAAAAUGACGGUACCUGUAGAAGAAGCCCCGGCUAACUACGUGCCAGCAGCCGCGGUAAUACGUAGGGGGCAAGCGUUAUCCGGAUUUACUGGGUGUAAAGGGGGCGCAGGCGGAGAUGCAAGCCAGAGGUGAAAGCCCGGGGCCCAACCCCGGGACUGCUCUUGGAACUGCGUGGCUAGAGUGCAGGAGGGGGAGGCGGAAUGCAUGGUGUAGCGGUGAAAUGCGUAGAUAUCAGGAGGAACACCGAUGGCGAAGGCAGCCUGCUAAACUGCAACUGACGUUGAGGCACGAAAGCGUGGGGAGCAAACAGGAUUAGAUACCCGGGUAGUC
rnacentral:rRNA from 1 species